UGUGUAUGAUGACAUCUCAGAAAUGCUGCAGACUCUCCAUUGUGGAGUGAGCAAGCCAACACUGGAUAGCUGAGCAUUGA
ensembl:snoRNA SNORD39 Small nucleolar RNA SNORD55/SNORD39